rnacentral:rRNA from 1 species
UACGUAGGGUGCAAGCGUUGUCCGGAAUUAUUGGGCGUAAAGCGCUCGUAGGUGGUUUGUCGCGUUGUUCGUGAAAACCGGGGGCUUAACUCUCGGCGUGCGGGCGAUACGGGCAGACUGGAGUACUGCAGGGGAGACUGGAAUUCCUGGUGUAGCGGUGGAAUGCGCAGAUAUCAGGAGGAACACCGGUGGCGAAGGCGGGUCUCUGGGCAGUAACUGACGCUGAGGAGCGAAAGCGUGGGGAGCGAACAGG